AGGAGAUGAACUUGGUGCUCCCUUUCCGGAUGAUCGUUUGGAUCCGGAUUUUGUGCCUGUGCCUCUGGGACAACCCAGAGGCCCUGCUGGUGAAUCAGCAGAACAGAAUCCUGCCUCUGAGCCUGAAGGGGAUGCUGGAGAUGUGACUGGAGGAGGUGAUCCAGGUUCCGCUCUGAGCUCUGGGACUGAAACUCCGGCAGAUCGCAUGGGAGUGCCCCCAGGGAGGGCUUUGCCCGGUCAUGUGUUUCCUCCUGCGCUGGAGCCCAGCUGGAAUCCCAGCGGUCCGGAAAAAGGAAAGGAUGAACCCAAAAGAGGAGAAUACUCCCAGGGCUCAUCCCGUCUCCUCAAGGAACUGGUGAAGGAAAUGGAGAAGGCAGCGCGUGGAACUGACCAACAAAGUGAGCAGGAUGCACUGCAGGAAGGCAGCCAUCCCACACUGCCAGUCUCGGGCAAAGGAACGCAGGCAGCGCCAGCAACUGUCAUGCCAGGGAUGAAUGCCGGGACGAGCACAAAGGCUGCUGUUGGCAGAUCUGCGCGAAGGCGCCACAUUGCAGCGAUGGUACUGUUCUCAGCUGUGCUGCUGUCUGCGCUGGUGCUGGCCUGUGGUGCUGUGAUAUGGAUGUGCCAAAAAUACGUAGUGUGCAAGAGAGAAGAGAGAGCAGCAGAGCAGGCUCAUCCUGAUACCAACUAGGAGAGAGUUCCAACUGGAGACGAGGGCAGAACGGAGCUGGGAGAGGCAGCCGAAGAGACUCUUGCCCCAUCAAAGAAGAAUCUCAGCCAUCGUCCCAGUGCAUUCCAUUCUGCCAUCCAAGAGGCCAAAGGUCUUCAAAGUCAUCUGGAAGACUUGGAGCUUGAACUCAAAGCCGUGAAAGAGGUCCACGGGAACAGUCCUGAGUGCUGCUUUCUGUCAGGGGACGGCCCUGAAAGUGAGAGCGGAGAACCAGCAGCAGAGCUUUUGUCCUUCACCCUGCAUUCUCUGGGACAAGCAUCAGCAACAUUUCAAAGAUUCUUAGCUCGGCACAGCUACAAUCCUGUUGAGGGUCCUAAUGAGGAGCCAGAAAGCGAGCUUCCUCUGACCGCUGGACAACACCUUAACGUCUUUGGAGCUGUGGAUGAGAAUGGCUGGUUUCAGGGAGAGCUGACAGAUGGCACAAGAGGACUGGUCCCAUCCAGUUUGGUUGCGGAGGUUUCAGAUGAUGAACUGGAUACAACGAUGCCUCCGGAGCUCUGUGCUCUCCUGCUGGAUACUUGAUGAAUAAGUGGAUGCAGAGAUUCCAUCAUGCAGCAACAUCCUGUCAAAAUUCCUGCGUUACUCCAUCUGCAGGACUACCCCCUGCUCCACUUGAUGUUCAGGUGGAGUGUGUGCAGGACGUGGAUGAGCUCCUUUGGGAACACUCUGAGGUGACUGACAGUGUAACUGCAUAGUCUUGUGGUAUAUUAAACAAACAAACAAACAAACACCACCCACAAUAAAACAACCAACC
rnacentral:lncRNA from 1 species